CCGGGGGCGCCUGAAGUCCGUGACCGCAAGGGUCGGCCUAGGGCGAAACCGGUGAUUGGGGCUAAGUCGUAACAAGGUAGCCGUACCGGAAGGUGCGGCUGGAACACCUCCUUUCUGGAG
rnacentral:rRNA from 1 species